rnacentral:piRNA from 1 species
GAGCAGGGUAAGGAAGGAAUGUGCUA